AGCUGAAGGAAGUUAAUUAGUAAAUUCCAAGCACCUGUGGAGCUCUUUCCACAGCAGUUGGAGCUUCUGUUUUCUCUCCCAGCACACAGCUCUAUUGCACCUUGCUUUACCUUCCAUCUGAACAUCUCCAUCCAGCCAUAUGGGUGUCAUUCGUUGUCUUGGCCUAUCCUGAAUUUUGGCCAUCUGAAUGUAGCAGCAAAGCAUGAAUGCCUGAAGGAGAAAAUGAGAAAAGAAAGAGGGGAGCAGGGUAAUGCAGGUAUUAAUCUCUCAGUUGAUGAAGAGUGGCUUCUGCUCUGCAUGCAAAAGAUUUCCUUGUCUUCCACAAGAUCUUCUCAAAGAGCACACUCAGUCCAGUGUAUUUUGAUGGAACUAUCUGAGAUGAAAUGGUCCAGCGUUGGGAUAAGAAGUGUUGGAUGCUGACAUGUAGUGAUGUGCAAACCCCCCUGUCUGAGAUGAGUAUAUCUCUAACUUUGCUCUAAUUAUCAAUCACUUGAUUCAUGUCAGAGCACUCACAUUUAAAUCAAGUUUUUGUGCUAUUUAGACAGGUACUCUGUAAACACAGGGAGAAGAGGUGGUUUCUGGAACGAACAGGAACGCUGCCUGAAUGGCUGCCUGAGUCCAUGUUCUGUCUGAAUAAAUUAAAAGCAAGAGUCUUUCAUGCUAAAUUUGUAUGGCCCUCUGCACAAAUUGCCCAAUUUAUUUGGGUGGCGAGACGUUUUGGGACACAGGGGUUGAUCAAAUGCAUUCAAUAGGACACUGCAAGUUGAAUUUAAGUAUAAAAUGAAAUUCCCUGUGUGUUGGUUUUGAUGUUCUUAAUUUAGUCCCUGGUGGACGGUAGUCUGCAUUACAAAACCUUCACACAUAAUUUGGCACAGUUUGGGUGAUUUGCAGUCUCUUCCCUCACUCUCUCUGCAUAGGAUGCCUUGAGCAGAGCCUGCAUGGAGGCUGGGUGACCUCUCCUCUCUCAGGAGAGUGGUCUCUUCAGGUCGCUGUUCAGGACAGUUCUGCAGCAGGGUAAGGAAGCUUUGACUGCUGCUUCUUCACUUGUGUGGGUAAACAGAGGACUUCAGUAUCCAGCACUACCAGUCCUUAACCUUCAAAAGCUAAGCAGUCACCAAGGGGGAUGGGGAAGAGAUGCUAAGAGAAAGUGCAGGGCAAAGAAUGUAAAGAAUUUUGCUUAUCUGUGACAAGUUUCUAAGCAUGUUUGAUUAUGGUAAUAAGGAUAUGUCGUUAACAAAGGAUUUUGAAGGCAUGUACACCAUUGAUAAUCAGCCCUGGCCAAAGUACAGCGAACAUUUAAAACUUGAUAUGGGCUCUUCUUCGAUGGGAUGUGUUUGAAAUACAGCAGCACUUUAGUGUGAAUGUGGAAUUUCACUUGAUGUACAAGGGUGGGGGUGUGGCAGCUAAGGAAGGAGCUGUAUCUACCAAAGAUAAAGUCCCCAUCACAGGCAAGAGAUGACUGUAAAACACGCACAAUUCCCAAUCCUUAAAAUGCUCCGUAAUUGCAAAUCUGCUCAUUGUUUUAACUUAUCUCUGCCAGUGCUGUGCUGAAUUAGUCCCUGAAUGGGAUCAAGGGAAGAGAAGAGGAAAGGAAGGAUGGGAACGAGAAACAGAAGAAAGCAAGAUAGCCAGAGAAAAGGGAAGGGUGGAGGCAGUUAAGCAUAAUUGCCCUAUGGCUUCAUGUGGAAUUGUAAAAGCUCUUGAACAUCCUUGCUGAACCAGCCACAAGAACAUUCUCCACAUCCCUGAUGCAUGGGAGGCUUCUAGUCUGGUGCUGUGGGGGGAAAAAGGGAAAGAAAUGGUUCAGGAGGAAUUUACCUCCUCUGUUUGGAUGCUUUUUAGUGUGUGUCUUGCCUGGAAACUGUCCCAGUGAAUGUCUUCCCCCCCCACUGGCUUCUGUGCUGGUCCCCCAUGUUAGGUCCUUUGGCUGUCUCCUCUGCAUCCAGCUCCCCACUUGUGGGAUGGGAGAUCCACCACCUCUGUGGUCACCCCCUUUCUUUGGCCUGUUUAGCUCUGUAGCAGCUGUUCCCACCAACAAGCAAUCCAUGGGAAUUUACUCUUGCUCCACCUGGAGUAUUCCUAUUUUUGCCUCCUUAUCUCCUAAUGAGUUUAUAAUCUAGAACAGAACAGUAGCCCUGCUGUUUUCCAGACUCCUUGUCAGAUAAUGUCACUAUCAGACACAUUCAGGUGACACACAAGCCACUUCUGGCCCCAUGUGGGCUCCUGUGUGGGUGCUUUUUUGAGGAGGAAUGGACUUGAACAGAAACUGUGAAGGCAAAUGGAAGAAGAAUGAAAACCACCCAUGAAUGGGACUCUCCAGGUGUGUUCCAGGUAUAGUAUUUGGGUGCUGGCUGCCCAACCCUAAAUGUGGUGGAUAUAACUCAGUAUUUCUUCUCCUAGUGCCUUUGGGUUGAAGAAAGCCUUUUAAUAUCCACACACCUCUAAUAAACUAAAGCUGUAACGAGGCUCUUUCUAUUUGUAUUGCUCUUUUGUUGUCUCCUAUGCGCAUUUACCAUUGAUUUUUGCCAAAUUCCCCUAUACUGUAACUAUGCAGUUAUAAACUGUUGUUAUUGAGGGGGACCAAGGAGAGAAGGGAUAGCCAUAAAAUCACUGGCUGCAAACUAACACUGCAGCUCUAUUUGGGUGUUUGUCAUCAACACUUGGGGAUUAUUGCAUACAAGAUUCCUAAACAUCAGCCAGCCACUGACUGCUUUCUCAGCCACAUCAGACAAAAAAGUUAUUUAUUUAUGGGGGUUUUAAUGGUAAGGAAUUAAUAUUCUGAAUCAUUGAUAUCUUUAUUGUGCAAUUUGCUGCCAUUAAAUUACUUCUUUUCUCUCAGAGUUGCCUUCUAUGAGACAUGAGAGGGUCGGUCUGUGUGCCUGAUGUCAUCUUUCAGGAUGCAUGGAAAACAAGGGAAACUCUCUGGAGCUUUCCUAAGAUUCGGGCUGCCUGUGGAGAGAUGACUGUGAUGGCUGCCAAACUGAUUCAAGGCGGGUUGAUGCAGAGGAGGUGACUGCUGGUGCCUGUGUCUGGUGUAGACUACUCUGCUCCUUGGUGAACAGCCCUAAAGCCAUAGAUUUCAUUUGAUCUUUGCAAAGGCUAACAUUUGUCUGCUGUCAUUUUAGUAAGAUUGAUGACAGGCUGGGGUAGGCGAGGAGGAGGGGGAGUGCAAUGGGAGGAAGGCUGGUCCCCACAGCCCCUAUGGC